AUGGAGUACUCGCCGAAGCUGGCAGUAGUACUGCUCUUAGCUCUCGCGUCCGCCAUGGCGGCCACGGCCCAGAACUCGCCGCAGGACUUCGUGGACCCCCACAACGCGGCGCGCGCCGAUGUGGGCGUCGGGCCGGUGACCUGGGACGACACCGUGGCCGCGUACGCGCAGAACUACGCGGAGCAGCGCCGCGGCGACUGCCAGCUGAUACAUACUCCCGAUGGCCGGCCCUACGGGGAGAACCUCUUCGGAGGCGGUGGGACCCAGUGGACGGCGGCGGACGCCGUGAACUCGUGGGUGUCGGAGAAGCAGUACUACGACCACGGCAGCAACAGCUGCUCCGCCCCGGAGGGCGACUCGUGCGGGCACUACACGCAGGUGGUGUGGCGUGACUCGACGGCCAUCGGCUGCGCCCGCGUCGUCUGCGACAGCGGCGACGGCGUGUUCAUCAUCUGCAGCUACAACCCGCCGGGCAACUACGUGGGGCAGAGCCCAUACUAG
rnacentral:rRNA from 1 species